GGACCGGGUUAGGCGACCGCUCCGUGAGAUAAUUGCGGGGAGGAAAGUCCGAACACGGGCCGCCCGUAAGGGUGAGCAGUCGGGUAAUGGGUAACGCCCAUACAUCGCGAGAUGAGAGGUGACCACAGUGACGCCAACAGCGAAAGCUAGAGGAUUCCCUGACUGCCGUCAGGCAGGCUUCGGGAAUAAUCCUGUUGAGAGACAGGAGUGCAACGACCAAAUCCUUACCCCCGUGCAAGGCCGUGCCCGACCACACUUCGAGUGUGACGGGAGUGCCGCUUGAGGCGUUGAGUAAUCAGCGUCCCAGAUAAAUGGUCGUCUCGUUCUCUUCGGAGGAUUAGACAGAAUUCGGCUUAUCAACCCGGUCUAAAA
rnacentral:RNase_P_RNA from 1 species